rnacentral:lncRNA from 1 species
CUUUAGGAUCAAACAGAGCAUACUGAAUCAGCAGGACUGGCUGGUGGUGCAGCAGACAUCAUGAGUAAGCACCGAGAAGUCUGUUCCUUAUCACGUGUGUAAGGGGAAAAAGGUUUAAACAAGUCUCUUAAGUGGUGUUUCCUCACCGAUGGAGAAUUACUUCCAAGCAGAAGCUUACAACCUGGACAAGGUGUUAGAUGAAUUUGAACAAAACGAAGG